rnacentral:lncRNA from 1 species
AUAGUCUGCUUUUAAGCAGGACUCCUGAAGGAUAUCUUUCUUUGUACUAUAGUAUCGGGAGAAACAAUGGAAGUGAAAUAUAAUCUGAAUGAUGACAGCGCAAAUCACAGAAGGUUAGAACUGGGAUAGGAAGAUAAUGAUGUUGCUUGAGAGGCAGUAUGGAGAAACGAAAACUGCCUUACUCUCAAGGAAUCCAGGAAAACCUCCUCAAGGAGAUGACUUUUGAAAUGUCUCUGAACCUCGCUUCCAUCAAAUGCAAAAAUCCUACUACUAUAUUACGAAUUGCUUCAAUCCUGAUGGGGCUACUGGGACCAUGGUUGUCUAUACAAUAACAUGAACCAGGCA